AUUGAACGCUGGCGGCAUGCUUUACACAUGCAAGUCGAACGGCAGCAUAGAGAGCUUGCUCUCUGAUGGCGAGUGGCGAACGGGUGAGUAAUACAUCGGAACGUGUCCGUUUGUGGGGGACAACCAUCCGAAAGGAUGGCUAAUACCGCAUAAGACCUGAGGGUGAAAGCUGGGGACCGCAAGGCCUGGCGCGAACGGGGCGGCCGAUGACUGAUUAGCUGGUUGGUGAGGUAAAGGCUCACCAAGGCGACGAUCAGUAGCUGGUCUGAGAGGACGACCAGCCACACUGGAACUGAGACACGGUCCAGACUCCUACGGGAGGCAGCAGUGGGGAAUUUUGGACAAUGGGGGCAACCCUGAUCCAGCAAUGCCGCGUGCGGGAAGAAGGCCUUCGGGUUGUAAACCGCUUUUGUCAGGGACGAAAAGGUGCUUGUGAAUAAUGAGCGCUGCUGACGGUACCUGAAGAAUAAGCACCGGCUAACUACGUGCCAGCAGCCGCGGUAAUACGUAGGGUGCAAGCGUUAAUCGGAAUUACUGGGCGUAAAGCGUGCGCAGGCGGUUGGGUAAGACAGAUGUGAAAUCCCCGGGCUUAACCUGGGAACUGCAUUUGUGACUGCUCGACUGGAGUAUGUCAGAGGGGGGUGG
rnacentral:rRNA from 1 species